AGAAUCAACGCUGGCGGCGUGCCUAACACAUGCAAGUCGAACGAGAAAGUGGAGCAAUCCACGAGUACAGUGGCGCACGGGUGAGUAACACGUGACUAACCUACCCUUGAGUGGGGGAUAACCUAGGGAAACCUGGGCUAAUACCGCAUAAUACCUUCGGGUCAAAGGAGCAAUUCGCUUAAGGAGGGGUCGCGGCCGAUUAGUUAGUUGGCGGGGUAAUGGCCCACCAAGACUAUGAUCGGUAU
rnacentral:rRNA from 1 species